rnacentral:rRNA from 1 species
GAUGAACGCUAGCGGCAGGCCUAACACAUGCAAGUCGAGGGGCAGCACGGAUUGCUUGCAAUCUGGUGGCGACCGGCGCACGGGUGCGUAACGCGUAUACAACCUACCUUUUGGAGGGGAAUAGCCAGAGAAAUUUGGAUUAAUACCCCAUAGUAUAUAGGAAUCUCCUGAUUUUUAUAUUAAACAUUUAUUGCCAUUAGAUGGGUAUGCGUCCUAUUAGCUAGUUGGUGUGGUAACGGCACACCAAGGCUACGAUAGGUAGGGGUCCUGAGAGGGAGAUCCCCACACUGGUACUGAGACACGGACCAGACUCCUACGGGAGGCAGCAGUGAGGAAUAUUGGACAAUGGGCAAGAGCCUGAUCCAGCCAUGCCGCGUGCAGGAAGACUGCCCUAUGGGUUGUAAACUGCUUUUACAGAGGAAGAACCACCCCCACGUGUGGGGGUUUGACGGUACUCUGCGAAUAAGGAUCGGCUAACUCCGUG